CUACGGGACGCAGCAGUGAGGAAUAUUGCACAAUGGGGGGAACCCUGAUGCAGCAACGCCGCGUGGAGGAUGACGCAUUUCGGUGUGUAAACUCCUUUUAUAUGUCAAGAAAAUGACGGUAGCAUAUGAAUAAGCACCGGCUAACUCCGUGCCAGCAGCCGCGGUAAUACGGAGGGUGCAAGCGUUACUCGGAAUCACUGGGCGUAAAGGACGCGUAGGCGGGUUGGAAAGUCAGGUGUGAAAUCCUAUAGCUUAACUGUAGGACUGCACUUGAAACUUCUAAUCUAGGGUAUGGGAGGUGGAGAUGGAAUUAGUGGUGUAGGGGUAAAAUCCGUAGAUAUCACUAGGAAUACCUAAAGCGAAGGCGAUCUCCUGGAACAUUACUGACGCUAAGGCGUGAAAGCGUGGGGAGCAAACAGGAUUAGAUACCCCGGUAGUC
rnacentral:rRNA from 1 species